ACUUAAAUUGAAGAGUUUGAUCAUGGCUCAGAUUGAACGCUGGCGGCAGGCCUAACACAUGCAAGUCGAGCGGUAGCACAGAGAGCUUGCUCUCGGGUGACGAGCGGCGGACGGGUGAGUAAUGUCUGGGAAACUGCCUGAUGGAGGGGGAUAACUACUGGAAACGGUAGCUAAUACCGCAUAAUGUCGCAAGACCAAAGUGGGGGACCUUCGGGCCUCAUGCCAUCAGA
rnacentral:rRNA from 1 species